rnacentral:lncRNA from 1 species
AAGCGUCUCCAUCCCGCAAGUCUACCAUCAUGGUAGAAGCGCGGGAGAAGGACCUCGGGAGGUCGCUCUUGGUUCCGCUGGUGCUUGCCAUUUCGAAUUCCCGCUGCCUGAUACCAGAAUCUGCAGCGGCAGUGAUCGACGAGAACAAACUAACGCCACAGAUAGCAACUGGAUGAAGUAGCAGUACAAGGCAUGGCGAGGCAAGAAGGAGGAAAGGAGUAGGUCAGAAGAAAGGGUAUAAAAGAGAGAAGAGGAGGAAGCCGCCAUGUGACUGUGAGAGAGAUCCGAUCCUUUGGGUGAAGAGCAGGGCAAAGGCGAUGACUCUGGUAGCAAGAAAGGAAUGUCAGUCGGAGAGCGAUUCAGCUAAGAGAGACCGUACUUUUGCUUUUUGUGGUGUGCCUUUUUGUGUCCGACAGACGCUUUACUUGGGAGAUGAGAUUUCCCGGCGAUG